rnacentral:rRNA from 1 species
GAACGGGUUACCUGAUGACCUAAAUAUCUGAAUGAGGAAAUUCAGCAUUAGUGUGCCAGAUGAUGGUACAUUGGUGUGCACUUUUCUUCUAGUAAGACGUUGCGAUCCAUUAGAAAUGCAAAUUAAAUCUGUAUAUAGGCCCGAAUAGGAGUUUAUACAUUAAGCGAGUAACAUGACUUUGUUGUUAUGUGAAUGCGUGUAAACUAUUUGGUGUUCUUACAGAUGUCUGAUGGUAUAUUGACGAGUGUCACAUACAAUUCCAUUGUGAAUUGACAUUCUUUUAUUAGAAUGUGAAGUGUGUACAUUUUCUCCAACGUUUUAUAUUUUUGAUACCCUCUCGACCCCCCUUGAAACACGGACCCAAAAAUCUAAAUUGUGUGCGAGUCUAUGGGAUUUUUUAAACCCAUAUGCGAAAUGAGAUUAAAUUGUGAUACAAAUGGGAUUUCAAAAGGGGUAUUUAAUAUGCGCUUUUUCCCCCCCCCGGGAUAUCAAAGUGAAUACUGUGAUUUUUCGUGCGUGUGCCACACAAAUAUACAGCGAGCACACACACUGUGACACGAAAAUAGGGUGAUCUAUGUGAGCUCGGUUGAUCUCGGGAGACCCUGAGAGAAAGAGUAUAAAUCUCACACGCGCAUCUCUAGUGACAGAUUGGAUAUAGGCGAAAACACACUCACCCCUCUAUAUCGGCUCCUUUCAAAAA